UAUGGCACAAAAUGUGCACCUGAAUAUAGGUAUCUUGUUUUGUUACCCCCAUUGAAGCAAUGGUUACAUUGGUUACAUUGGUUACACACAUGGACCUUUACUAAAUGAUAUGCAAUACCGGCUUUAUAAUUGACCAUUUCUGCUGCAAACUGAAUAGGUAGGGGUAGAGCUAUUACAAUUAUUACAUACACAUUGAAGUUAGGUUACAAUGGUUACAUGCAUGUGGAAGUCAGGUUUCAAUUAUAAAAUACAUAUGGUUUGGGGAUAACAAUGGUUACAUAAAUGGAAAAUGAUGGUAACAAUGGUUACAUGCAUGGGGAAGUCGGGUUACAAUGGUUACAUGCAUGGGGAAGUCGGGUUACAAUGGUAACAUGCAUGGGGAAGUCGGGUUACGAUGGUUACAUGCAUGAGAAAUCAGGUUACAAUUGUUACAUGCAUGGGGAAGUCAGGUAACAAUGGUUACAUGCAUGGAGAAUGAGGGUUACAAUGGUUACAUAUAUGGAGAAUCAGGUAACAAUGGUUACAUGCAUGGGAAAGUCAGGUUACAAUGGUUACAUACAUGGAGAAUGAAGGUUACAAUGGUUACAUACAUGGGGAUUGCUGGUUACAAUGGUUACAUGCAUGGGAAAUCAGGUUACAAUGGUUACAUGCAUGGGGAAGUCAGGUUACAAUGGUUACAUACAUGGGG